rnacentral:rRNA from 1 species
AGAGUUUGAUUUUGGCUCAGGAUGAACGCUAGCUACAGGCUUAACACAUGCAAGUCGAGGGGCAUCAGUUUGGUUUGCUUGCAAACCAAAGCUGGCGACCGGCGCACGGGUGAGUAACACGUAUCCAACCUGCCUCAUACUCGGGGAUAGCCUUUCGAAAGAAAGAUUAAUAUCCGAUAGCAUAUAUUUCCCGCAUGGGUUUUAUAUUAAAGAAAUUCGGUAUGAGAUGGGGAUGCGUUCCAUUAGUUUGUUGGGGGGGUAACGGCCCACCAAGACUACGAUGGAUAGGGGUUCUGAGAGGAAGGUCCCCCACAUUGGAACUGAGACACGGUCCAAACUCCUACGGGAGGCAGCAGUGAGGAAUAUUGGUCAAUGGACGCGAGUCUGAACCAGCCAAGUAGCGUGAAGGAUGACUGCCCUAUGGGUUGUAAACUUCUUUUAUAUGGGAAUAAAGUGGUCCACGUGUGGACUUUUGUAUGUACCAUAUGAAUAAGGAUCGGCUAACUCCGUGCCAGCAGCCGCGGUAAUACGGAGGAUCCGAGCGUUAUCCGGAUUUAUUGGGUUUAAAGGGAGCGUAGGCGGAUUGUUAAGUCAGUUGUGAAAGUUUGCGGCUCAACCGUAAAAUUGCAGUUGAUACUGGCAGUCUUGAGUGCAGUAGAGGUGGGCGGAAUUCGUGGUGUAGCGGUGAAAUGCUUAGAUAUCACGAAGAACUCCGAUCGCGAAGGCAGCUCACUGGAGUGUAACUGACGCUGAUGCUCGAAAGUGUGGGUAUCAAACAGGAUUAGAUACCCUGGUAGUCCACACAGUAAAC